UUUGGAACUCCAGUCUAGGCUAGAUGUCUUCUGCUUGGCACCUAUUCAUCAACAUCCUUUUGCCUCUCCUCUGUGUUGUAUGGUUUUGUUUACCGUAUUGAAAUUAUUCCUCUCUUGAAUGUUUUCUCUUUUUGAUAUAGCACAUCCUUCAAUAGCCUCUUGAGAAACUAUGAAAGCAAAACUUUUGCGUGUCUGAAAACCUCUUUAUUCCCUCCUUUUCUUUGACUGCACUUGUACUUUAACUUACUACCCCAAUCCCAAACUCUGUUUGGAGUCCCCACUCACGGGGCACUUAAAAAUCUAAGUUUUUUUGUCCUAUCAAUUCCUUACAAAUGUAUUGUUUCUUUGUCAAAUAGUAUAAAAGCUGCCAACUUUGGCCACUUCUUAGUUCCCAUUUCUAUGAGACCUCUGUGCUCAUGAAUUAAAUUUGCUUUUUCCUCCUGUUAAUCUGUCUUGUCUCAAUGUUAUUAUUAGCUCAGCUAAAAGAACACAAGAUGAGUAGAGGCGGCAAUUCCCCUCUCUCUGACUGUUGAUGUGUCAGGCAGGGGACUGGCUGGACCUUACUUUUUGCCCUGCAGCUGCUGCAGCUGAAAAAUCCUAGGACAUUUACCAAGGGCCAGCAGAAGAUACAAAGACUUUUAAAAAAAUACUUAGAGCAACUUGGUAAAUUAUACCUUUAUUAUCCAAAUUGAAGCAUUCAGCUUUUUAUUUUUACCUGAUCCCUCUGGAAUUCAGAAACUCUCAAGAUGCCUCUUAUUAAAGCUGAUUGUUUAUACCAUGGACAGCUUUGGGAGCCCUGUCUGGAUCACUGCCUCUUGAAAUAAGAUGUAAUUUUUUAACUGAACUGACUAUUCUCAGAACUUGGAAACUUAAUCAGUGAAAUGGAGGACUCUGCUAACACUUUCUCUCUCUCAGCAGUCAGCAGCUCAGCUUUAAUAUGUGAGACUUCCAGGGACAUUUCAGCCAAGGGAAUGAUUGGAGUCCAGGGUGCGUGUGUGCUCAGCUGUGUCCAACUCUUUGUGAUCCAGUGGACUGUAGCCCACCAGGCUCCUCUGUCUACGGAAUUUUCCAGACAAUAAUACUGGAGUGGGUUGCCAUUUCCUCCUCCAAGGGAUCUUCCUGACCCAGGGAUCAAACUUGCAUCUCCUAUGUCUCCUGCAUAUUUUUGGACUCUGUCAUUAUGGAAGAACAAAAAAAUGGAAGACUUUCCAAUUUUACCUAAAAGUCAUCUGCAUUCUUAUACUUAAUUCGGGCACAGACAUUUUACUCUUUA